GUUCUUACAGAGUCCAGAAAAAGAGCAUUUGGAACUGAUGUAACUAAUGUCAGUUAUAAGAAGACUAAAGCUGAAAGUUCAGCGUAUCAGGGUUUAAAUCAUUGCCUCAACAUGCAAAAGCUAGUGCAGUGUGAGAAUUCUUCGCAAGAGGAUAGCCAAAAUAGUCAGGAUCAAGAAUGCGAACGAACUUCCAAGAGCUAUCAAUUUGGACCCUUUGCUCCGG
rnacentral:misc_RNA from 1 species